rnacentral:rRNA from 1 species
GGAAAGAUUUAUUCGCCAUUGGAUGGGCCCGCGUAGGAUUAGCUAGUUGGUGGGGUAAUGGCCUACCAAGGCGACGACGGGUAGCCGACCUGAGAGGGUGACCGGCCACACUGGGACUGAGACACGGCCCAGACUCCUACGGGAGGCAGCAGUGGGGAAUAUUGCACAAUGGGCGAAAGCCUGAUGCAGCGACGCCGCGUGAGGGACGACGGCCUUCGGGUUGUAAACCUCUUUCAGCAGGGACGAAGCGCAAGUGACGGUACCUGCAGAAGAAGCACCGGCUAACUACGUGCCAGCAGCCGCGGUAAUACGUAGGGUGCAAGCGUUGUCCGGAAUUACUGGGCGUAAAGAGUUCGUAGGCGGUUUGUCACGUCGUUUGUGAAAACUCACAGCUCAACUGUGAGCCUGCAGGCGAUACGGGCAGACUUGAGUACUGCAGGGGAGACUGGAAUUCCUGGUGUAGCGGUGAAAUGCGCAGAUAUCAGAGGAACACCGGUGGCGAAAGCGGGUCUCUGGGCAGUAACUGACGCUGAGGACGAAAGCGUGGGUAGCGAACAGGAUUAGAUACCCUGGUAGUCCACGCCGUAAACGGUGGGCGCUAGGUGUGGGUUCCUUCCACGGAAUCCGUGCCGUAGCUAACGCAUUAGCGCCCGCCUGGGGAGUACGCCGCAGGCUAA